rnacentral:rRNA from 1 species
UACGGGGGGGGCAAGCGUUGUUCGGAAUUACUGGGCGUAAAGGGCUCGAGGCGGGCAACUCAGUCCGACGUGAAAUCCCCAGGCUUAACCUGGGAACUGCGUCGGAUACUGGAUGGCUUGAAUUCGGGAGAGGGAUGCAGAAUUCCAGGUGUAGCGGUGAAAUGCGUAGAUAUCUGGAGGAAUACCGGUGGCGAAGGCGGCAUCCUGGACCGGCAUUGACGCUGAUGAGCGAAAGCUAGGGGAGCAAACGGG